UUAUUGCUCCGCGUGAGUGAUGGUAGUGAAGCUCUUUUUAUGAGAGGCUUUUUUUGCCUCUCAUAAAAAAGCGGGAACGUACAGCACGACCCGUA
rnacentral:sRNA from 1 species